rnacentral:rRNA from 1 species
GAUGAACGCUAGCGGCAGGCCUAACACAUGCCAGUCGAGGGAGAGGUUACCUUCGGGUCACCAAAACCGGCGCACGGGUGCGUAACGCGUAUACAAUCUGCCUUUCACAUAGGGAUAGCCCGAAGAAAUUUGGAUUAAUACCUAAUGGUAUAUAAGAGCGGCAUCGUUUUUAUAUUAAAGCUACGGUGGUGAAAGAUGAGUAUGCGUUCUAUUAGCUAGUUGGAGAGGUAACGGCUCCCCAAGGCGACGAUAGAUAGGGGUUCUGAGAGGGAUGUCCCCCACACUGGUACUGAGAUACGGACCAGACUCCUACGGGAGGCAGCAGUGAGGAAUAUUGGACAAUGGUCGGAAGACUGAUCCAGCCAUGCCGCGUGCAGGAUGAAGGUCCUAUGGAUUGUAAACUGCUUUUGUAAGGGAAGAAUAAGGAGUACGUGUACUUUGAUGACGGUACCUUACGAAUAAGCAUCGGCUAACUCCGUG